ACAGAGGCGGCAAGCGUUGUUCGGAAUUAUUGGGCGUAAAGAGCAUGUAGGCGGCUAUGUAAGUCGGUUGUGAAAGCCUUCCGCUUAACGGAAGAAUGGCGGUCGAAACUGCAUGGCUUGAGUGCGGGAGGGGAGAGUGGAACUUCUGGUGGAGCGGUGAAAUGCGUAGAUAUCGGGAGGAAUACCGGUGGCGAAGGCGACGCUCUGGUCCAGCCCUGACACUGAGGCGCGAAAGCGUGGGGAGCAAACGG
rnacentral:rRNA from 1 species